AUCAUAGCCGACUCUCAUCGAAUCAACACUGAUUCUUCCGGGGAUUCCCCCGGGGAUCUCGCUCAUCCGCUGUAGCCACAAGCUGGACUGCGCGAAGGCGGACGUCUCUCCCCAUUCGAAGAGUGCGAUCUCUUUGUUUUUUAACCGCAACAAACGAUAGGUCGAGUCGCCCUCCUGCUCUUGCGCUAGCGCUGUGAUUUUUGUGCGCCUUAUGCUUUUUUAAGUAGAAAUUACGCG